UGCUACCUUCCGGAUGGAGGUGAAGGAGGUAACCCCCAGGCAGGCCAAUUUGAAAGUGUGCUCCAUAUAUCACUGUGAAUGGGAAGAAAGAACUUCAUCAAGAUUGAUCUUGCCUGAUACAUCUGGUGAUUAAUGAGCGGAGAUCGAGACUGUUUACCAUAUCAGCUGAGAGAUAAAUACGUAGAGGAACGAAAUCAGGUCAAUUUCUCAAGACCUGCGUGUUCCAGGCCAGACCAGGAAGAAGCAAAGAAACUCACCCGCUGCCUGUUCUGC